rnacentral:misc_RNA from 1 species
GUUUAUAACUUUUAAUAUAGGUUAGAUUCAACAUUCUAAACAUGUUAUAGAGGUUGUGAAAAAAAAAUGACAUAGACCUGAAAAAUACAAGGGAAAGCCGACUUUUGGUAGAUAAAGCACAGCAGUCCCCCAACUUUGAAUUCCUUAUCAGAAUUCAAAAAGAUACAACAGGUCUACAAUAUGUGCACAGUUGGGAGAAAUGAUAAAGAUGACAAGCGUGCACAUACCCCCUCAAGGGCCAGCAACAGCCUGUGCAAGUUUAUUCGAUAAUGAUCCUUCCGCAGGUUCACCUACGGAAA